GUGGUCGCUUUGACAACACAUACUAAAAUUGGAACAGUACAAGAAGAUUAGCAUGGCCCUUGCACAAGAAUGACACACAAAUUCACAAAGCAUUACAUAUUUUA